UUUGUUUGUUUCCUUCUCAAGUGGCCCAUUGAUGAAACUCACCCUAAGCCUGAAGGCCUACUCCUAUGACGUCCCCCUGGCCUCCUUACCAAGUCCUGUGAGGGACUCAAUAUCUCAGGCUGUCCCUGCACUCUGUCCAGUGUUCCAGGACAAGCUGCGGACACAGAGUCAAACCUUAUGCCUCAGUAUCCUUUGGACUGGUGAGAGAUACUUGACAUUUCCAUGGAGGCAAAUCAAAUGAAACACAGACGCAUUCAAAUAAAACAUGACCCUGAUAUUAGAUGUUUUGAUGCACUCCAGUUCAAUUAUGAAACAUAAACACUAUCGUUUGAUGCCCCAAUUGGUGAGUGGACUGUUCGAUACUGUAUGUCUAAUUAUAAUGAAAUUAAUUUGCCAAUUCCUACGGUUAUCUCUCCUUGAAACAAAAAAAAAAACACAGAUAGUUUUGAAAUCCACAUGUUAUAUUUGGCAGCCACUGUCAUUACACAAAAGGUGAAAAAAACACUGGGGACCUUUGUGAGCUUUGAUUGAUAUUUCCUAAGAUAUCUCAAACGCAAGCCUAGUCUUGCUGACAGAUACAUGCGCUAUCAGACCUUGUGCUUUGGUUCUUCCAGCGCGCAGGCCAGCAGUGGAAUGUGACUGACGGUGUGUACUUCCUCUUGGUGAAGGACUAUCUUACGCACUUCCUGCCAGUGGAGGCUAGUAUGCCAACGUAUCCUUCUGUGGUUGAAACAGUGGGCGAUAUUCCAUUGGGAAGGUCAAGGCUGAAUGAUCAGUCCAAAGGCAGGUUUUCUGUGAGAACCAGGGUCCUCCUGAGAGGACAAGCCGACGACAAAGCAGAGCAUGCCUGCCAAGACAACUGGGCAUCAUGGACUAUGCUACAGGUCUUUGUAGGGAUCUGGAUGAUGGACUUCAGCACAGAGAAACAGUGUCCUGGUAACAUGACGGUAAUGCGCUAUAUCUUUAUUACACCUGUGUCUUCAUCAGCAUACAGUGUUUUGGAAAUGUUGAAGUUUGUAAAGUUGUUGAAAACACACA